CAGCCGCCGCGGUAAUACGUAGGGUGCAAGCGUUAAUCGGAAUUACUGGGCGUAAAGCGUGCGCAGGCGGUUUGUUAAGACAGAUGUGAAAUCCCCGGGCUUAACCUGGGAACUGCAUUUGUGACUGGCGGGCUAGAGUAUGGCAGAGGGGGGUAGAAUUCCACGUGUAGCAGUGAAAUGCGUAGAGAUGUGGAGGAAUACCGAUGGCGAAGGCAGCCCCCUGGGCCAAUACUGACGCUCAUGCACGAAAGCGUGGGGAGCAAAUAGGAUUAGAUACCCGUGUAGUCCCUGUCUCUUAUAC
rnacentral:rRNA from 1 species